ensembl:lncRNA
CUUAGGAAGAUGUGACAGGAGCCAGAAGAGGUGAAAAUGUCUGGAAGUCAGCACAGGGCUGGGGGGCCAGUGAGCAGUGCUCAGGAAAUAUUUUUGAAUGAAUGAAUGACAAAGCAUUAAUUCCUGCCCUUACAAGCCUAACAGCUCCAUUUCCCAGGGGUUUCCCCUUAGCACUUCGACUUUGCCACCAAGGGAAAAAUAAGAUACACCAUUGCCCUUCAAGAAACUUACAAGACAGGACAAGACUCAGGAAAUGACCAAAGACAAGGGAAGGCCCAGUCCAUUGAGACGAGAGGAACUUAGGGAAAUUUCAGGGAAUUUCUGGUGAUCCCUUCCAAAUCACAGCAAAACUUUGGGUUAGGCAAGGGUUGUGGACACUUCUUGAUGAACCGAUUGAAACUUUCAAAGUCCCCUGCUGCUUGUGGCCCUAGCAGAAGGCCCUUAAGAGUUCCAGGAUGAAGGCAGUUGCUGUCCUAGGGUUCAGUACCCGCAGCCGGGCCAGCAGCGAGGCAGCCUCGGCCGGUCCAGGGCCUCCGCCGAGGCCAGUCCGCGCCCCGCGCCGCUCGCGACCGACCGGCCCGGACGCGGGCGGACAGCGCGGAGCCCCGGGCGAGCCUUUGUGCCGCCGGCAGCUGCCUUUGUGCGACGCGGGUUCGCGCGCCCCUCCAGGCGGCCGCCUCUGCAAGGAUCGCCCCCGCUGCGCUCCAUACCUGCUCCUUUGUCACCAGCUGCCGAAGAAUUCAGAAAAUCAAAUUUAUUUCCCGAUUACCGAUUACCGCCGGGACGCCCCUUUGUGCGGUGAGGCCUCUUUAACGGUUGCGAUUCCAGCCCACUCUGUGAAGAAGGCUUUUUAAGGAAAAUGCGCCCCGCUGACUCCUGGCCCCCGUGGGAACUUGCGGGCGAGAUCUUCUCGCAAUAAAGACGCUAACGAGCCCCAAGACGUGGGCUUGUCAAGUGUCCUGCCUGCUAACGGGGAUAAAUAAAUAGGCCUCUUGAGUUCGGAUAGUGUAUUUCCUUUUCCCCCCCUUAGGAAUGAAUGGAUGGAUGUUGACUCCAAGGCUUGCCAGCCCAGCGCUGCCCUCAGCCUGCGGGUAAAUCCAAUUUCAGCCUCUGAGUGCUCAGCGCUAUCAGCACCUCGCCACUGCCGGAAGCCACAGGCCAAUCUGAAAAAGUUCCUCUUCCACCGGAUUCUCAGGUGUCUUAGGCACCUGAAGAUAAACGAUGGUACCAUUAUUUCACCUGAUUAGGUUGAGAUUUUCUGAAAUGAACACAAAAUAUUGCCUCGCCUUGCCAAGUUUUGUCCACAGUCAACUGCUAUGCUGGUGUGAACCAGGGACAACUAUUGAGAGCCCACAUCUGCUGUUUCACCUUGAGACAAGGAACCUGUUCACACUGGAUGAGCCCAUGUCUAUGCAUGUCCUCUUUCAGAUGGCCCUGAAGGUGACAUAGGCAGUGAGACUUUGAAGAUCACAUCAAAGCCAUCAAAGCACAGAAUGUUGGUGCCGGAUGGCCCUUUCAAGUUCACGGUCCACUCCAUCCCAAAGACAGAUGGGAAAACUGAAGCCCAUGCUAAGAGAAGUUCCUUCCCCAAGGCCACAGGCAGAAAUGUUUGCCCUCCUAGUACAACCAUUAUUCUGCUGUAUCAGUCUGCCAUUUAUGACAAAGUCCUCCUUAUAUGACAGAGAAC